CCAGGCAUCAGGUGGACUGAGAUAAUGUCAGGGAAGCUCAGUAGGGUACCUCUCAGGCCCUAAUGAGAAAUACAAAGGAGCGAAUCAUGCAGACUUUCUAUAGAGCCUUUCGAAAGCCCCAAAGAAUGUCACGCCUACCCUCACAGCAAGAGAAUCAUAACGUUUGUUGAACCCAUCAGCAAUCUGAGGCUGCAGGGCAACCAAGCAGACUGAGAUCGAAGGGAAGACGGGCCCUUCCAAGGCAUGUUGGGACACAAACGCUGAAUCAACCGCAGUGGAGCACAGGCGGAAGGGGCCAGGUGCCGCACCAAUGGGUAAGAAGGACUGAGGCAAAAACUUCCACAAACCUCUCAAGAUCCAGAGAGGGCUCCUCUGAGAGUUUAGAACCGCAUGUGGGUGCAAAUUCCUGCCUGCAAGCUCUGCUCCAUGGCCCUCCACUGAGAGCUCACACAAAAAAGGAGACACAGAUUGGGAAAUGAGAGCAAGCUUCACAGGAUGGAGGGCUGCCUCCGUGGCAGACACACAGCUCAGUGCUCAGCACGCUCGCCUCCUCUGGAGUAAAGAGGUGAAGACAGUUUCUUGUAAAGUUAAACAUCACGCUUAUCACACGACAGUCAAUCCCACUCCUAGGUGGUUGCCUGAGAGCAAUGGAAACUUAUCAUCAUGUCAAACUUGAAUAUGAAUUCUUAUGGCAGCUUUAUUCGUGAUCACAAAUCAAAUUACAGGAAACCGUCCAAAUGUCCUUCGACCAGGGGCGGGAUAAACAAACCGUGGUACGUCCAUACGUGAACGACUACGUGGCAAUAAAAAGAAGUGAAUUACUGAUACAGGCAACCAUGGAGUUCAAUCUCAAAUGCAUUAUUCACGGAAAGAAGCCAGACCCAGACGGCUGCAAACGGCAUGAUUCCAUUUAUACGAUAUUCUAGAAAGGCAAAAUCGCAGGGGCAGAAAACAGAUCAGGGAUGCCAGAGCCAGGAGAUGGGUAGAAGGAUUGAGGCUUCGAGGGGUGUAAGGGACUUUUUGUGAUGAUGUGGUUACACAACUCUGUGCCUUUGUUGAGACUCUUAGAACCAUACUCCAAGAAGGACGAUUUUACUCUAUGCGAUGUAUACCUUAACUAGAAAAACAGACAAACCAGGCGCUAUUCUGCCUUGGGUUCAUACCGUUGAGAAGCUGCUGGGCUGUGGUAAGAUGGCCCAAACCCUGCCUGCAGACACUGAGCCCUCCUGGAGGACUGAAAGGGCUGAAAGCAGAGUGAUUCAACCAGCAAGUAUUGGGCCCCACUAGUGAUAAGGCCAGGCAAGACACGGGCUUGUAUUUAUCCAGCACCUUUCUGCAUUUCAUCUGCGUUCACUGCAGGUUGUCAUCCAUGCAAACAUCUUAAAGAGCUUAUCCUUUAUCCAAACCACCCAUCUUUGGCCGUCGUGGAAGGGACACAGUCUUGUUGCAGCGCUGCCUGUGUGGCAGGUCCGUCACUGACGGUAAGGUGGAGCCUUCUCGGGGCUGCACAAACCAGGGUGGACCGCUUCCACUUCUAUCCCCGGUACACAGCAUUGCAUUUCUACGUGUGUGGAACUUAGUUAAAAUUUGGCUCGAGGCCUUGAAGAGGCUGAGUGGGAAGAAAGAGGCAUUGGAGGUUGGGUGGGGCACAGACUAAAACUGGACGGGCCUGGGUGGCGGGGAGCGGGUGGUGGCGCAUGUCCUUCCCCUCCUGCCCGGGUCAGGCAGAGGCUGUCUCAUCUGCAGUGGAAUCUAAUCAGCACUGUUUGGAUGGGGUCCAGGCUCUCGGCCACAGCUAAGGACUGCCAACCACAACCCAUCCUGAAAGGGUACCAGAUUUCUCUCUUUGCUCCUGGUGCAGACCUGCCUUGCAGGCCCAGAUAUGCCUCACCAGAGGGUCAGCUUCAGGGGCCUGGUCUCUCUUGUUCAUCCUAGUCCAACCCAGGCCUGGUACAGUACCCAGCCAUGCUCAAGAAAGGGUUAGUGAGGGCAAUGAUACGACAUGGACCUGGGCUCUGGGCAUUAAAGCACUUCUGCAAUUAGAGCAUUUGCCCACAUCAGGUUCUGUGUAUCAGUCAGGUUUCUGUAGUGGUGAUGCUACUUAACAAACCUAACGGCUCCGUGACCUAGAACAACCUUCACUUUCCAUUCGCAUGUUUGCAGGUGGACUCUAGAGGCUCUAUUUCAGGCUGUAGGUUGGGUUCAGCCUAAACCUACAUGGGUUGGCUCCAUGUGUGUCUCAUUCUGGGACCCAGACUGAAAGGGUUACUGGGGAAAACGCUCCUCCUGGAAGAUGGCAGGAGCACGAGGCAGGCAAACCACGUUAGCCUGUUGAAAGCUUGCUCACGUCGUGUCCACUAGCAUUCCGCUGGCUGAAGCAAGCCAAGGCCAGAGACAACCGGAUGGGGGUAGAAUCCCUCUCAGGGAAGCCUCAACAAGGACGGAGAAGGGAGAACUGUGUGCAGGUAUGCAAACUGCCACCUACAGGAGGCCCAGGAAGUGCCUCUGUGCCACAAGAAUGUCCCUGCCUUGGGAACUGAACCAGACGCCACUAAGUCUCCAGGCAGCGCUGAGACCGUGGGGGAGGGGAUCCUCUCCAGUGACUUUGUCUCUGCUCAACACUUAUAGAAAGAAGUUAUGCAUUAAAUUCAAUUACAGUCCUGCUGACUGAGGACUCUCUUAAGGUGACUCUGCCUCCUCAGCUCUGAUGCAGGAGGUCUAGAGUCACGAGGACAGAGCCCUCAUACACGGGGUUAUAAAAGUGCCCUAAUCGGAAUGAACCUGACCGGGGAGACGAAAGACUGCUAUGCUGAGAGCGGUAAAGCAUUGAUAAAGCAAACUGAAGAUGAUGUAAACAAGCGGAAAGACGUCUCAUGCUCUUGGAUUAGAAGAAUUCAUAUGGUUACAGUGGCCACACUCCCCAAAGCAAUCUUCAGGCUUAAUGUGAUUACUAUCAAAUUACCCAUGACAUUUUUCACAGAACUCGAACAAAUAAUUCUAAAGUUUAUAUGAAACCAUAGAGGACCCAGAAUUGCCACAGCAACCCUAAGGAAAAAGAACAAAGCUGGAGGCAUAACUUUCCCAGAGUUCAGACAAUGCUACAAAGCUAUAGUAAUCAAAACAGCAUGACACUGGCACAAAAACGGACAUAUGGAUCAAUGGAAUAGAAUAGAGAGCCCAGGAAUAAAAACGUGCACACCUACAGCCAGUUAAUCUUCGACAAAGGAGGCAAGAAUAUACAAUGGAGAAAAGACAGUCUUUUCAGCAAGUGAUGUUGGAGAAAUUGGACAGCCUCAUGUAAAUCAGUAAAAUUGGAACACUCCCUCACACCAGACAUAAAAAUAAACUCAAAAGACCUUAAAGACUUAACCAUAAGACCGGACACCAUAAAACUCAUAGAAGAGAACACAGGCGAAACAUUCUAUGAUGUAAGUUAUACCAGUGUUUUCUUAGGUCAGUCUCCCAAAGCAAUAGAAAUAAAAAAAUAAAUAAACAAAUGGGACCUCAUCAAACUUUCGAGCUUUUGCACAGCAAAAAUCAUAAAACUAAAAGACAACUUAUAGAAUGGGAAAAAAUAUUUACAAAUGACGUGACCAACAAGGACUUAAUUUCCAAAAUAUACACACAGCUCAUACUACUCAAUAACAGAAAACAAACAGCCCCAUCCAAAAAAUGGGUAGAAGACCUAAGCAGACAUUUCCCCCAAAAAUACAUACAGAGGUCUUUGUCGAAGGAGCCAGUAGACACAUGAAAAGAUGCUCACCAUCGCUAACUAUUAGAGAAAUGCAAAUCCAGACUUCAGUGAGGUACCGCCUCACAAUGGUCAGAAUGGCCAACAUUAAAAUGUCUACAAGGAGCUCCCUUAUGGCACAGCAGGUUAUGUAUCCGGCAUUGUCACCGCAGCAGCCUCAGUCACGGCCCUGGUGUGGUUUGAGCCCUGGCCUGGGAACUUUGGCAUGUGGCUCAGAGGGUUACAAGCCCAACUAGUAUCCAUGAAGACACUGGUUUGAUCCCUGGCCAUGCUUAGUGGGUUAAGGAAUCGGCAUUGCCAUCAGCUGUGGUGUAGGUCGCAGACACAGCUCAGACCCAGCAUUGCUGUGGCCGUGACUGUGGCUGUGGCAUAAGCUGGCAGCUGUAGCUCCGAUUCGACCCCUAGCCUGGCCUGGGAACUUCCAGAUGCC
rnacentral:lncRNA from 1 species